CUCCCCUGACGUACACUGCAUUCCAGCAAUCGUGGUGUCGAUUCAGUAGAAUUAACACUGACGCGACAACUACGAUGUCGCAGGUACGAGUCCACCCUUGCUAACACGGUACCAUUGACACCAUACUGACUGUGUAACACGUCGAGUAGAAUGUUGUGGUCAAGGGUGUCGAAAGCUGCACUUAGAUCUAUUUGCAAUUAGAGCUGUCACCUCUUGCUUCUCCAUACCGUCUAGAAGAUCAUUGACAAGUCUGAGUAAAGCAGUCUCACAUGAAUGAUGACGUCUGUAUGCUGAUUGAUUUUUGGGUAACAAAUUAUGGGUAUCGACAUGGUUAUUUAAAUUAGUCUGAAGAGCGCAGCCUUUUCUAUCAAUUUUGAAAGAAACGAUAAGUUACUGACAGGCCUGUAGUUUGAUCAUUGUAAUUCACACAUUUGCCUUCUUUUCUUUAUUUACAAAGGAGUAUCUCAGAUAUUGCUAAAAUACUCAGUAAAGGUAUUUUUAAUGAUUUAACAAGUGGCAUUAAAUAUUUUAAAAAAAUGAAAACAAAGAUCAUCGAGGAAGGGGCAUAAGUCACAUAAAGACGUUUACAAAAUACUUGUUUUGGUUGUAUAUCGUUUUGUUUAUUUAUAUAUUUUUAUUUUGUUUUGGUUUUGUUUGUUAUUGUAGCAACCACAACAUUAACUUUACAAUUAAAAUUAUUUUCAUUUUGCUUAAUUUAUGUAAUUUAUGAAAUUAUAUCCAUGCAUGAAGUUUCUUAUGAAUAUAUAUUUUAUAAACAAUAAAUACAGAGUUUGUUUUGAUGGCCUUAAAGUGCAGUCUGAGUGUCUGUAAACCAAAAACAGUGAAAACGGGAGAAAAGUAAACAGCAAAAACGGAAAUUAACGAUCAUUUUGAAAACGGAAUGAGCGAAUAAUCAGAAAUCUUGCAUACAAAUUAUUAGGUCAGACCUUCAUGAAAUGGUACGCAGAACUUGAAUAUAAACUUCCAGUUCCGCAAUGCCCGUAAAAACUAACUGGAGUUCCCGUGAAUGACAAAUUAUUAUCUCAAUUCUGUUUUGUUUUUGUUUUCAAUCCUGGAAAUCGCUUUUCAAAAAUUACUUAAAGAUCCUGUAACACAAUUUUCACGGGGGGGGGGGGGAAUCACGUGACUUUGUAUAGUAAUACCCACGAGAAAAUGGCGACUGCUGAGCCCCGUAUUUGCAAUUUGGACCAAAAACGCAAAGGAGAAGACAUUCGCCAUUUCACAUUGAUAUUUAAUGCCAUCAUAGAACUGAAAAAUGAGGGCCAAGACACACCUGAAACUGCAGAGGUCAAAGAACUACUAUCGCCACAGAAAAAUAACACUGAGCCGUGUAAUAUCAAAUCCCACCAAAAGUUCAUUUGAAAUAUUAUAAUAACAACCAAUUAAGCAUUCGUCCUAUAGAUAAAAAAGUGAAUUAUUUGAUCUUGAAUAAUUGAAAUAAGUAUUUCUAUCUCUUAACAUAUGAACUUUAACUUUCUUUUAAUGUAUAUGUAUGCUAAUGGAAACUGUGCG